GACGAACGCUGGCGGCGUGCUUAACACAUGCAAGUCGAACGGAGCGAAUGAAAGCUUGCUUUUAUGAGCUUAGUGGCAAACGGGUGAGUAACACGUAGACAACCUGCCGACAGGAUGGGGACAACAUUCCGAAAGGAAUGCUAAUACCGAAUGAAGCGGAGGAGAGGCAUCUCUCUUCCGUGAAAGAUGGCCUCUAUUUAUAAGCUAUCACCUGUUGAUGGGUCUGCGUCUGAUUAGCUGGUUGGUGAGGUAACGGCUCACCAAGGCGACGAUCAGUAGCCGGUCUGAGAGGAUGAACGGCCACAUUGGGACUGAGACACGGCCCAGACUCCUACGGGAGGCAGCAGUGGGGAAUCUUCCGCAAUGGGCGCAAGCCUGACGGAGCAACGCCGCGUGAGUGAAGAAGGUCUUCGGAUCGUAAAGCUCUGUUGACGGGGACGAACGUACGAAAGGGUGAAUAAUCC
rnacentral:rRNA from 1 species